rnacentral:rRNA from 1 species
UACAGAGGUCCCAAGGCGUUGUUCGGAUUCACUGGGCGUAAAGGGUGCGUAGGCGGCUAUUUAAGUUUGGUGUGAAAUCUCCCGGCUCAACUGGGAGGGUGCGCCGAAAUACUGAGUGGCUAGAGUGCGGGAGAGGAAAGUGGAAUUCCUGGUGUAGCGGUGAAAUGCGUAGAUAUCAGGAGGAACACCGGUGGUGUAAACGGCUUUCUGGACCGUAACUGACGCUGAGGCACGAAAGCGUGGGUAGCAAACAGG